UCCUAGAAUUCUAGCAAAUGAUUCAAAAUCAACCAUUUUUAAUGAUUGAUAUAUAUUAUUUACAAGUUUAAUAAUGUAGAAGUAUUCAAAUCAGAUAAAAUUUUGAUAGAAAUUUUUUUAUACUAAUUACUGUAAGAUUAAUAUCUUUGAUCGAAAAUUUUAGUGCUAUAUUACCAUCUUUUGUGAUAUUUUUAUUUUCAGCCGUUGAUUUUGAACUCUUUGGAUCGCUAAGUAAAUGAUAUCGAAAAAUCGCAAAAUUUAUUUUUUAUAUAUAUAUAUUUGAGCAGAAUACUAUCGAUAGCAAACGGGUUCCGUUGCCACCCAUUUGUUUUCGAUGAUGGAGCUUCCAAAUCGACGACCGGCACCGUUGAACAUGAUCUAUGCCACUUGAAGUGUUUAGAAAUCAAAUUUCAUACAUUUUCGAUAUUGUUCUCUUAUCCAUCGAGUGGACACAAAAAUGAACGACUGAAAAUGAAUAUUCUUUAAAAAAAUAAUGAUAGAAGUCUUGUAAUCAAGAUCAAGAGUAUAGUUCUUGUUUUAAAUAGUUUAAAAAAUUUUCUAACAAAAAUUCAAAUGAUUUGGAUAUCUUUACGCCGUAAAACGAGAAAACGUCUCAUAUCGACCAUUAAAAUUACAAAUUUUGAAACCUUUGAUCAUUAGGCAAAUGAUAUCGAAAAGAUUUAAAAUUUGAUUUCUAAACAUUUCAAGUGGUAUAGAUCAUAUUCAACGGUGCCGAUCGUCGAUUUGGAGGCUCAAUCAUCGAAAACAAAUGGGUAGCAACGGAGCCCGUUUGCUAUCAAUAGUAUUCUAGCUCAACUAUAUAUAUAUAUAUAUAUAUAUAUAUAUAGAGAGAGAGAGAGAGAGAGAGAGAGAGAGUCCGGCUACUAUACUAUCAGUAGCACGGAGGGCUCCGUGCUACCAAGUUGUUUUCGAUGAUGCGGCUUCCAAAUCGACGAUCGGCUCCGUUAAACUUGAUCUAUAUUAUUGAAAGUAUUUGGAAACUAAAUUUCUGAUUUUUUCAACAUCAUUUGACUAGUGAUCAAAGAUCUCAAAAUUGACAAUUUUAAUGGCCGAUUAGUGGUGUGUUUGUGAGUUUAACGGUGUAAAACAAUCCAAAUCUGAUGAAAAUUUUAUAGAAAAUUCUUUUCACUAUUUAGAGUAAGAUCAGUAUAUCUGAUCUUGAAUUUAAAUCUUUUAUCAUCAUUUUUUAUGAGAUUUUUAUUAUCAGCCGUUCAAUUUUAGACUAUUUGUUUGAUAGGUAAAUGAUAUCGAAAAAUUAUGAAAUUUAGUUUCUAAAUACUUUUAAUAGUGUAGAUCAAGUCUAACGGAGCCGAUCGC
rnacentral:lncRNA from 1 species